rnacentral:rRNA from 1 species
GACAGAGGGUGCAAACGUUGUUCGGAAUUACUGGGCGUAAAGCGCACGUAGGCGGCUUCGCAAGUCGGAUGUGAAAUACCUAGGCUCAACCAAGGACGUGCAUCCGAAACUGCGAGGCUUGAGUACAGAAGAGGAUCGCGGAAUUCCCGGUGUAGAGGUGAAAUUCGUAGAUAUCGGGGAGGAACACCAGUGGCGAAGGCGGCGAUCUGGGGCUGAUACUGACGCUGAGGUGCGAAAGCGUGGGGAGCAAACAGG